rnacentral:rRNA from 1 species
AAGUGUGGACGCCAGUCUGCAUGGAGCCGACCUUGAAAUACCACCCUUUAAUGUUUGAUGUUCUAACGUGGACCCGUGAUCCGGGUUGCGGACAGUGUCUGGUGGGUAGUUUGACUGGGGCGGUCUCCUCCUAAAGAGUAACGGAGGAGCACGAAGGUUGGCUAAUCCUGGUCGGACAUCAGGAGGUUAGUGCAAUGGCAUAAGCCAGCUUGACUGCGAGCGUGACGGCGCGAGCAGGUGCGAAAGCAGGUCAUAGUGAUCCGGUGGUUCUGAAUGGAAGGGCCAUCGCUCAACGGAUAAAAGGUACUCCGGGGAUAACAGGCUGAUACCGCCCAAGAGUUCAUAUCGACGGCGGUGUUUGGCACCUCGAUGUCGGCUCAUCACAUCCUGGGGCUGAAGUAGGUCCCAAGGGUAUGGCUGUUCGCCAUUUAAAGUGGUACGCGAGCUGGGUUUAGAACGUCGUGAGACAGUUCGGUCCCUAUCUGCCGUGGGCGCUGGAGAACUGAGGGGGGCUGCUCCUAGUACGAGAGGACCGGAGUGGACGCAUCACUGGUGUUCGGGUUGUCAUGCCAAUGGCACUGCCCGGUAGCUAAAUGCGGAAGAGAUAAGUGCUGAAAGCAUCUAAGCACGAAACUUGCCCCGAGAUGAGUUCUCCCUGACCCUUUAAGGGUCCUGAAGGAACGUUGAAGACGACGACGUUGAUAGGCCGGGUGUGUAAGCGCAGCGAUGCGUUGAGCUAACCGGUACUAAUGAACCGUGAGGCUUAACCUUACAACGCCGAAG